rfam:Triticum aestivum genome assembly, contig: Triticum_aestivum_CS42_TGACv1_scaffold_096226_2AL
GUUGUACUCCAUCCGUUCCAAAUUACUUGUGGCGGGUACGAAUGUAUCUAGAUGUAUUUUAGUUCUAGAUACAUCCAUUUCUGCGACAAGUAAUUUGAAACGGAGAGAGUAUUUG